rnacentral:rRNA from 1 species
CAGACUCCUAUGGGAGGCAGCAGUGGGGAAUAUUGGACAAUGGGCGCAAGCCUGAUCCAGCCAUGCCGCGUGCAGGAUGAAGGCCUUCGGGUUGUAAACUGCUUUUGUACGGAACGAAAAGACUCUGGUUAAUACCUGGGGUCCAUGACGGUACCGUAAGAAUAAGCACCGGCUAACUACGUGCCAGCAGCCGCGGUGAUACGUAGGGUGCGAGCGUUGUCCGGAUUUAUUGGGCGUAAAGGGCUCGUAGGUGGUUGAUCGCGUCGGAAGUGUAAUCUUGGGGCUUAACCCUGAGCGUGCUUUCGAUACGGGUUGACUUGAGGAAGGUAGGGGAGAAUGGAAUUCCUGGUGGAGCGGUGGAAUGCG